CCUUGGUUAGCUCAGUUGGUAGAGCGCUCCACUUAAAAUGGAGAGGUCCUGGGUUCGAUACCAGGACCAGACG
rnacentral:tRNA from 1 species